AUUGAACGCUGGCGGCAGGCCUAACACAUGCAAGUCGAGCGGGGUUUUCGGACCUAGCGGCGGACGGGUGAGUAAUGCGUAGGAAGCUGCCCGAUAGAGGGGGAUACCAGUUGGAAACGACUGUUAAUACCGCAUAAUGUCUACGGACCAAAGUGUGGGACCUUCGGGCCACAUGCUGUCGGAUGCGCCUACGUGGGAUUAGCUAGUUGGUGAGGUAAUGGCUCACCAAGGCGACGAUCCCUAGCUGGUUUGAGAGGAUGAUCAGCCACACUGGAACUGAGACACGGUCCAGACUCCUACGGGAGGCAGCAGUGGGGAAUAUUGGACACUGGGCGAAAGCCUGAUCCAGCCAUGCCGCGUGUGUGAAGAAGGCCUUCGGGUUGUAAAGCACUUUCAGUAGGGAGGAAGAGUUGAGUGUUAAUAGUACUCAGCUUUGACGUUACCUACAGAAGAAGCACCGGCUAACUCUGUGCCAGCCGCCGCCGUAAUAC
rnacentral:rRNA from 1 species